CAGUCGCCGCGGUAAUACGAAGGGGGCUAGCGUUGUUCGGAAUUACUGGGCGUAAAGCGCACGUAGGCGGAUAUUUAAGUCAGGGGUGAAAUCCCAGAGCUCAACUCUGGAACUGCCUUUGAUGCUGGGUAUCUUGAGUAUGGAAGAGGUGAGUGGAAUUCCGAGUGUAGAGGUGAAAUUCGUAGAUAUUCGGAGGAACACCAGUGGCGAAGGCGGCUCACUGGUCCAUUACUGACGCUGAGGUGCGAAAGCGUGGGGAGCAAACAGGAUUAGAUACCCCCGUAGUCCCUGUCUCUUAUAC
rnacentral:rRNA from 1 species